rnacentral:rRNA from 1 species
UUGGUUAAGCUAGUAAGAGCACACGGAGGAUGCCUAGGCGCCAGGAGCCGAUGAAGGACGUGGCGAACAACGAAAAGGCCUCGGGGAGCUGUAAGCAAGCUUUGAUCCGGGGGUGUCCGAAUGGGGAAACCCGGCUGUGGUAAUGCACAGUCACUUCUCUCUGAAUUCAUAGGAGAGCUAGAGGCAGACCAGGGGAACUGAAACAUCUAAGUACCCUGAGGAAGAGAAAACAAGAGUGAUUCCGUCAGUAGCGGCGAGCGAACGCGGAACAGCCUAAACCGAAGAGCUUGCUCUUCGGGGUUGUGGGACGUCUCACAUGGAGUUACAAAGGAACGGUUUAAGCGAAGAGGUCUGGAAAGGCCCGCUAGAAAAGGUAAAAGCCCUGUAGCUGAAAAGUCGUUCCCUCCGAGACGGAUCCCGAGUAGUGCGGGGCACGUGAAACCCCGUAUGAAUCCGGCAGGACCAUCUGCCAAGGCUAAAUACUCCCUGGCGACCGAUAGUGAAACAGUACCGUGAGGGAAAGGUGAAAAGCACCCCGGAAGGGGAGUGAAAGAGUACCUGAAACCGUGUGCUUACAAGAAGUCAGAGCCCAUUUUAGGGGUGAUGGCGUGCCUUUUGUAGAAUGAACCGGCGAGUUACGUUUAACGUGCAAGGUUAAGGCGAGGAGCCGGAGCCGCAGCGAAAGCGAGUCUGAAUAGGGCGACUUAGUACGUGGGCGUAGACCCGAAACCGUGUGAUCUACCCCUGUCCAGGGUGAAGGUGCGGUAACACGCACUGGAGGCCCGAACCCACGAACGUUGAAAAGUUCGGGGAUGAGGUGGGGGUAGCGGAGAAAUUCCAAUCGAACUCGGAGAUAGCUGGUUCUCCCCGAAAUAGCUUUAGGGCUAGCCUCGGUGAUUAAGAGUAAUGGAGGUAGAGCACUGAUUGGGUGCGGGGCCCGCAAGGGUUACCAAGCUCAGUCAAACUCCGAAUGCCAUCUACUUGUCGCCGGGAGUCAGACAGUGAGUGCUAAGAUCCAUUGUCAAAAGGGAAACAGCCCAGACCAUCAGCUAAGGUCCCCAAGUGUGUGUUAAGUGGGAAAGGAUGUGGAGUUGCACAGACAACCAGGAUGUUGGCUUAGAAGCAGCCACCAUUGAAAGAGUGCGUAAUAGCUCACUGGUCGAGUGACUCUGCGCCGAAAAUGUAACGGGGCUAAACACACCACCGAAGCUAUGGCUUGAUGCUUGCAUCAGGGGUAGGGGAGCGUUGUAUGCGGGUUGAAGGUUGACUGUAAGGACAGCUGGACUGCAUACAAGUGAGAAUGCCGGUAUGAGUAACGAAAAGAUCAGUGAGAAUCUGAUCCGCCGAAAGCCCAAGGUUUCCUGAGGAAGGCUCGUCCGCUCAGGGUAAGUCGGGACCUAAGGCGAGGCCGACAGGCGUAGUCGAAGGACAACAGGUUGAUAUUCCUGUACCACCAUAAUCCGUUAUGAGCAAUGGGGGGACGCAGGAGGGUAGUGACGCGGACUGAUGGAUGUCCGUCCAAGCAGCGAGGCUGGUGUAUAGGCAAAUCCGUACACCGUAAGGCUGGGCUGUGAUGGGGAGCGAAAAUUGUAGUAGCGAAGGUCAUGAUCUCACACUGCCAAGAAAAGCCUCUAGCCAGGAGAAGGUGCCCGUACCGCAAACCGACACAGGUAGGCGAGAAGAGAAUUCUAAGGCGCGCGGAAGAACUCUCGUUAAGGAACUCGGCAAAAUGACCCCGUAACUUCGGGAGAAGGGGUGCCUCGGUAGGGUGAAUAGCCCGAGGGGGCCGCAGUGAAAAGGCCCAAGCGACUGUUUAGCAAAAACACAGGUCUGUGCGAAGCCGCAAGGCGAAGUAUACGGGCUGACGCCUGCCCGGUGCUGGAAGGUUAAGGGGAGCGGUUAGGGGUAACCCGAAGCUGUGAACCGAAGCCCCAGUAAACGGCGGCCGUAACUAUAACGGUCCUAAGGUAGCGAAAUUCCUUGUCAGGUAAAUUCUGACCCGCACGAAUGGCGUAACGACUUGGGCGCUGUCUCAACGAGAGAUCCGGUGAAAUUUUAAUACCUGUGAAGAUGCAGGUUACCCGCGACAAGACGGAAAGACCCCAUGGAGCUUUACUGCAGCUUGAUAUUGAACUUGGGUACGAUCUGUACAGGAUAGGUGGGAGCCUUGGAAGCCGGAGCGCCAGCUUCGGUGGAGGCGCCGUUGGGAUACCACCCUGAUCGUAUCUAGGUUCUAACCUGGUACCCUAAACGGGUACGGGGACCGUGUCAGGCGGGCAGUUUGACUGGGGCGGUCGCCUCCUAAAGUGUAACGGAGGCGUCCCAAGGUUCCCUCAGAAUGGUUGGAAAUCAUUCGAAGAGUGCAAAGGCAGAAGGGAGCUUGACUGCGAGACCUACAAGUCGAGCAGGGACGAAAGUCGGGCUUAGUGAUCCGGUGGUACCGCAUGGAAGGGCCAUCGCUCAACGGAUAAAAGCUACCCUGGGGAUAACAGGCUUAUCUCCCCCAAGAGUCCACAUCGACGGGGAGGUUUGGCACCUCGAUGUCGGCUCAUCGCAUCCUGGGGCUGAAGUAGGUCCCAAGGGUUGGGCUGUUCGCCCAUUAAAGCGGUACGCGAGCUGGGUUCAGAACGUCGUGAGACAGUUCGGUCCCUAUCUGUCGUGGGCGUAGGAAAUUUGAGAGGAGCUGUCCUUAGUACGAGAGGACCGGGAUGGACGUACCGCUGGUGCACCAGUUGUUCCGCCAGGAGCAUGGCUGGGUAGCUACGUACGGACGGGAUAAGCGCUGAAAGCAUCUAAGCGUGAAGCCCCCCUCAAGAUGAGAUUUCCCAGUAUGUAAGACCCCUUGAAGACGACGAGGUAGAUAGGUUGGAGGUGGAAGCACGGCAACGUGUGGAGCUGACCAAUACUAAUCGGUCGAGGGCUUAUCCAAAUU